CAGUAGCCGCGGUAAUGCGUAGGGUGCGAGCGUUAAUCGGAAUUACUGGGCGUAAAGCGUGCGCAGGCGGUUGUGUAAGACAGGUGUGAAAUCCCCGGGCUUAACCUGGGAACUGCGCUUGUGACUGCACAGCUAGAGUAUGGCAGAGGGGGGUGGAAUUCCACGUGUAGCAGUGGAAUGCGUAGAGAUGUGGAGGAACACCGAUGGCGAAGGCGGCUUACUGGCUCAUACUGGACGCUGAGGUGCGAAAGCGUGGGGAGCAAACAGGAUUAGAUACCCCCGUAGUCCCUGUCUCUUAUAC
rnacentral:rRNA from 1 species